rnacentral:sRNA from 1 species
AGUAAACAUUGUGCUUAAGGUCAUUAUAAGAUAUUAUUUACAUGUUCAUGUAUCAGAAACUUUUUUUUUAUUUUAGAAUUUUCAUAUAAUUGUUUUUGUUGGCAUUAAUAACAUUGUUAAUGGCAUAUCUUUCCUAAGAUCAUGUACUGAAUCUACCUAUCAAUUAUAAAGUUUUACCGUCUGUGUUUUCUAGCAGGGUCGUUUAUUUGUGAACAAAUGAUGAGACUGUGUCAUAAUAAAAUGGGUCUUUUUACCAUUUAUGUUAUAUAAGUUAAAGACAUUUAAGUCUAAUAAUAUCUAAGAUUUUGUAAAAUCAAAACCUUUGUAAAUCUCAUUUUAGACAUUCUUUUACAAACAAUUAUAUUUGUUAGAAUUGUCUUAUUUUCUACAAUUUGUUGACAAAGUUUUUAUUCAUAAUGAAUCAGUAGUUUAUUAUUGUUUAAUCUAGUCAGUAAUUGAAUAUCAUGUAUAUAUAUUAUAUGUACAUAUAAUUAUCAUUUAUACCAUUACAUGUAUAUGAAUCUCACAUGAAUGUUUAUGUUAAUACACACAAUUGUAAACAACUCAUACAUUGUAAUGUAAAUUAGUAUACAUACUGGUAUUUUGAAUUAUAUAAUAAUUUUUGGUGUCUUUUGCAAUACUUACAACAGUUAAUAUAGGUAUAAAUAUAUUUUUUGUUCUGAAAUCCAGAAAAAAACUUCCAUCCUCAUCUUUUCCAUACAUUUAAUUAAACUAAUACAUCUAUUGCACUGUCACAUUUUUGGUAAUAACAUAAAUAUAUGGGUUUGCAUUUAUCAUUGUCAUUUUAACAAUGUCAAUCUGACAGUGCAAUCAAUGCUAUUUUGUGUUGGAUUAACCAUUACAUGAUAGCUGAUAGUCCCAGUGUUUUACAGCUUCCUGACAUGUUGUUGAAUCUCUGUUCUAAGUCUACCUUUAGUCAAAUAUACACCAAUUUACAAUUUUCUCAUAUUUUCAUAGUCAGAGAUGAACACAUCUGUCUAUCAAACAAGUAUUGUACUACCACUGUUCAGCUUUCAGUUUUCACAGUCAUUUAAAUUUGUCCUCAUGCAAGUUUGUAUAUUUUAUUAUUUUUUUUUGAAACUUUUUUUAUAAAGCAAUAAAAUUCCUCAAAGAUUCUGAUACAGUUUAUUCUUGCCAUUUUGUAUUUGUGUGAAUGUCAGUUAAAUAUGAACAGCACAAUGCAAUAAAAUAAUCUCUUUAUGAACAAAAUUUACAUCGUCUGUACAAAAUCCUCAAGUAUCUUUAGCCAAGGCUUGUGAUCCAGUCCGUUCCCAAAAAACCUUUGGUUAAGGAAAAGUCAUCAUCAUUGAAUUGUCUCUUAUGUUAAUGUUUCAUUUCCUUAGUGGAGUUCUUGUCGGUUUUUGUCUUAUGUAUACCGUAGUAAUAACUGAUCAGAAAGGCAUUGUAUAUUAAUUACUUUUGGUCUUUUUUUUGUCUGUAAAGUAAUUGCUGAAGGCAUUGUAUAGUAAUUACUGUUAGGCAUUGUACAAGUAUACUGAAUAUGCUUAGUAACACUUCCGAGGUCGUUCAAUGUAUGUACAUAAAUGUUGUUGUUCAUUGCGUGAAAUUGUUGAUCUUGCUUUGUUGUUGAAUCUUUGCAAAUCUUGUUCACGUUAAAGCAUUUCCACAAAGAAGGCAUUGCUAUUUUGAAAUGUUUUAAACAAUCCAUUUAUCAUUUUUGUGUUGAAAUCCAGUUGUUUUGUUUGUUUGUGAUUAAAGUUCAAAUAAACUGAUAUUAUUUC